rnacentral:rRNA from 1 species
UACGUAGGGUGCAGGCGUUAAUCGGAAUUACUGGGCGUAAAGCGUGCGCAGGCGGUUUGCUAAGACAGGUGUGAAAUCCCCGGGCUUAACCUGGGAAUUGCGAUGGAGACUGCAAGGCUUGAAUCUGGCAGAGGGGGGGUAGAAUUCCACGUGUAGCAGUGAAAUGCGUAGAUAUCUGGAGGAACACCGGUGGCGAAGGCGGCAUCCUGGACCGGUAUUGACGCUGAGGCGCGAAAGCUAGGGGAGCAAACGGGG